CCAUGCAGAGGGUGCAUUAUUACACCAUCCUCACAAGGAGGACCCACCACCGGCUAAUCACGGAGAGAUCUUGGCAAACGCAGACCCUGCUCCUGAGGCUGCUCUCACCGAGGGGACGUUCUCUGUCUACACGGGAGAGCUCUCCGGAGAGAAAAGACUCUGUUUUCAGGAUUACUAACCACCGGCAGUAAGAACCCAGAGCUGGGGGUCCUUGGGCUUUCUCUCUGGUCUUGGAAUUUCUGAGUCUGGGGCUGCCAGAGCUUGUCAUGGAGGGGUGCACCUGCCUCUUUAGGAGAAUCAUCAACCCUGAGAGAUGGUGAGACUGUGGGGCUGGCAUGUCCAACAUCUGCAGGUGGCUAGGGGGCUAGAGAUCCACCAAACUACGGACAUUGCCAUUUGAGCCCGAAAGCUGUCUGCUGGUGGAAUUCCCUCCUCUUUCGGAGAGGUUAGGGUUUUUUCUAUUGGAGCCUUCAACUGAUUAGAUGAGACCCACCCACAGGAUGGAAGUUUACAGAUCAGAAUGCCCAUAAUGCUUCUACUUCAGAGACAUGAGAACUCAUGCAGGCUCCAAAUGGCACCGGUGGAAGGAAGUGUGGCUUUGCCCCUGGGCUCUGGGCCCCCACUCAUGUGCCA